rnacentral:rRNA from 1 species
GGGCGAAAGCCUGAUGCAGCGACGCCGCGUGGGGGAUGACGGCCUUCGGGUUGUAAACCCCUUUCAGUAGGGAAGAAGCGAGAGUGACGGUACCUGCAGAAGAAGCGCCGGCUAACUACGUGCCAGCAGCCGCGGUAAUACGUAGGGCGCAAGCGUUGUCCGGAAUUAUUGGGCGUAAAGAGCUUGUAGGUGGCUUGUCGCGUCUGCCGUGAAAACCCGAGGCUCAACCUCGGGCGUGCGGUGGGUACGGGCAGGCUAGAGUGUGGUAGGGGAGACUGGAACUCCUGGUGUAGCGGUGAAAUGCGCAGAUAUCAGGAAGAACACCGAUGGCGAAGGCAGGUCUCUGGGCCAUUACUGACACUGAGAAGCGAAAGCAUGGGUAGCGAACAGGAUUAGAUACCCUGGUAGUCCAUGCCGUAAACGUUGGGCACUAGGUGUGGGGGACAUUCCACGUUUUCCGCGCCGUAGCUAACGCAUUAAGUGCCCCGCCUGGGGAGUACGGCCGCAAGGCUAAAACUCAAAGGAAUUGACGGGGGCCCGCACAAGCGGCGGAGCAUGCUGAUUAAUUCGAUGCAACGCGAAGAACCUUACCAAGGCUUGACAUGCACCGGACGGUCGCAGAGAUGUGGCUUUCUUCGGACUGGUGCACAGGUGGUGCAUGGUUGUCGUCAGCUCGUGUCGUGAGAUGUUGGGUUAAGUCCCGCAACGAGCGCAACCCUCGUUCUAUGUUGCCAGCACGUCAUGGUGGGGACUCAUAGGAGACUGCCGGGGUCAACUCGGAGGAAGGUGGGGACGACGUCAAAUCAUCAUGCCCCUUAUGUCUUGGGCUUCAAGCAUGCUACAAUGGUCGGUACAAUGGGUUGCGAAACUGUGAGGUGGAGCGAAUCCCAAAAAGCCGGCCUCAGUUCGGAUUGGGGUCUGCAACUCGACCCCAUGAAGUCGGAGUCGCUAGUAAUCGCAGAUCAGCAACGCUGCGGUGAAUACGUUCCCGGGCCUUGUACACACCGCCCGUCAAGUCACGAAAGUCGGUAACACCCGAAGCCAGUGGCCCAUCCUCGUGAGGGAGCUGUCUAAGGUGGGAUCGGUGAUUGGGACUAAGUCGUAACAAGGUAGCCGUACCGGAAGGUGCGGCUG